UAACUAAAGCGCAAACGAUCAUGCUAGACGCAGUUGUUCGUUUCAAUCCCUCUUUUGCCUGGACCGCCCUUUCGGGUUUUCAGUCCACCGGGAUACCCUUUUUUGCCCAAGUCGCCUUUCCAGGUUUUCGACUUGCCGGGUGUACAGUUUUCUUUUAUCCCUAAUUUUUGCCCGAACCUUUUCAUUCUGUUUUUGGUUCGCCGGGAUGCCCAUUCUUGCCAGGACUAUUUUAU
rnacentral:lncRNA from 1 species